rnacentral:rRNA from 1 species
CGACCGGCGCACGGGUGAGUAACACGUAUGCAACCUGGCUGUAAGAGGGGAAUAACCCGGAGAAAUCCGGACUAAUACCGCAUAAUACUUAGAAUCCGCAUGGAUUUUAAGUUAAACAUUUAUGGCUUACAGAUGGGCAUGCGUAUGAUUAGCUGGUUGGAGAGGUAACGGCUCCCCAAGGCAACGAUCAUUAGGGGUUCUGAGAGGAAGGUCCCCCACACUGGUACUGAGACACGGACCAGACUCCUACGGGAGGCAGCAGUGAGGAAUAUUGGUCAAUGGACGCAAGUCUGAACCAGACCCAAGUCGCGUGAAAGGAAGAAUGUCCUAUGGAUUGUAAACUUCUUUGGAAGGGGAAUAAAGUACGGUACGUGUUACCGUUUUGUAUGUACCCUUCGAAUAAGGAUCGGCUAACUCCGUGCCAGCCGCAGC